GAGUUUGAUCUUGGCUCAGAUUGAACGCUGGCGGCAUGCCUUACACAUGCAAGUCGAACGGCAGCACGGGAGCUUGCUCCUGGUGGCGAGUGGCGAGCGGGUGAGUAAUGCAUCGGAACGUAUCCUGGAGUGGGGGAUAACGUAGCGAAAGUUACGCUAAUACCGCAUAUUCUGUGAGCAGGAAAGCGGGGGACCUUCGGGCCUCGUGCUCUUGGAGCGGCCGAUGUCGGAUUAGCUAGUUGGUGAGGUAAAGGCUCACCAAGGCGACGAUCCGUAGCAGGUCUGAGAGGAUGAUCUGCCACACUGGAACUGAGACACGGUCCAGACUCCUACGGGAGGCAGCAGUGGGAAUUUUGGACAAUGGGGGCAACCCUGAUCCAGCCAUGCCGCGUGAGUGAAGAAGGCC
rnacentral:rRNA from 1 species